AUUGAACGCUGGCGGCAUGCCUUACACAUGCAAGUCGAUCGGUAACAGGUCUUCGGAUGCUGACGAGUGGCGAACGGGUGAGUAAUGCAUCGGAACGUGCCCAGUAGUGGGGGAUAGCCCGGCGAAAGCCGGAUUAAUACCGCAUACGACCUGAGGGUGAAAGGGGGGGAUCGCAAGACCUCUCGCUAUUGGAGCGGCCGAUGUCAGAUUAGCUAGUUGGUGGGGUAAAGGCCUACCAAGGCAACGAUCUGUAGUUGGUCUGAGAGGACGACCAGCCAACCUGGGACUGAGACACGGCCCAGACUCCUACGGGAGGCAGCAGUGGGGAAUUUUGGACAAUGGGCGCAAGCCUGAUCCAGCAAUGCCGCGUGCAGGAAGAAGGCCUUCGGGUUGUAAACUGCUUUUGUCAGGGAAGAAAUCUUCUGGGUUAAUACCUCGGGAGGAUGACGGUACCUGAAGAAUAAGCACCGGCUAACUACGUGCCAGCCGCCGCCGUAA
rnacentral:rRNA from 1 species